rnacentral:rRNA from 1 species
GACGAACGCUGGCGGCGUGCUUAACACAUGCAAGUCGAACGGUAAGGCCCUUCGGGGUACACGAGUGGCGAACGGGUGAGUAACACGUGGGUGAUCUGCCCUGCACUUCGGGAUAAGCCUGGGAAACUGGGUCUAAUACCGGAUAGGACCACUGCCUGCAUGGGUGGGGGUGGAAAGCUUGUGCGGUGUGGGAUGGGCCCGCGGCCUCUCAGCUUGUUGGUGGGGUGAUGGCCUACCAAGGCGGCGACGGGUAGCCGGCCUGUGAGGGUGUCCGGCCACACUGGGACGGAGAUACGGACCAGACUCCUACGGGAGGCAGCAGUGGGGAAUAUUGCACAAUGGGCGCAAGCCUGAUGCAGCGACGCCGCGUGGGGGAUGACGGCCUUCGGGUUGUAAACCUCUUUCAGUAGGGACGAAGCGCAAGUGACGGUACCUACAGAAGAAGCACCGGCCAACUACGUGCCAGCCGCCGCGGUAA